rnacentral:rRNA from 2 species
UACGUAGGGUGCAAGCGUUAAUCGGAAUUACUGGGCGUAAAGCGUGUGUAGGCGGUUCGGAAAGAAAGAUGUGAAAUCCCAGGGCUCAACCUUGGAACUGCAUUUUUAACUGCCGAGCUAGAGUAUGUCAGAGGGGGGUAGAAUUCCACGUGUAGCAGUGAAAUGCGUAGAUAUGUGGAGGAAUACCGAUGGCGAAGGCAGCCCCCUGGGAUAAUACUGACGCUCAGACACGAAAGCGUGGGGAGCAAACAGGAUUAGAUACCCCCGUAGUCC